rnacentral:lncRNA from 1 species
AAUAUCAUACUCACGUUAUAUCAUCAUAUGAAAGCAUAUAUCAUUCACCACUUCAAUAAGCACAUGGACUGGUCUUCCUGCAUUGAAGAUGAUUUGGGUUGUGAUUACUUUUCCCCAUGAUGAAAUAAGAAGUAUCAUGCUCUAUAAAAGCAUAUUUCAUUUCUUUCAUUACUAAGAGGCAUAACUUGAUUGGUGUGGUGCUUAUGAAUAUGUAGAUCACCAACUUUACGCAUGAUUUUGAUGAUGAGUAAGCUUGACAAGUUUAUGAAUUCCUUGUUUCUGCAUGUAAAACAGGACCACAUGAUCAUUGGACUUUUUUUUAUGGGCUAUACUUUUGGAUGAAAUAAACAGAAAUCGAACCAUGUUGUGGGUUGAAUUCUAGGCUUGAAUUAGUGAAGUAAGAUAAUAAUAUAGAGACAUCAUAAAUAUUAUCAUUUUACAUUUUGAGUUUGUGAAGGAACUUAAGCAGAAUAAGUGUGUGAUGUGGAGAAUCUCAUUUUUAUGCUUGUGCAAGAGAUAUAUAGGUGAGAGAUAGAAACCUGGUUGAGGAGCUUAACAUGAUGUGUUCCCUGAUGCUUUAAAGGUGGGGCUGGAGAGGGAAGGAUGAGUUGAUCUGGAUGCAAGAUAUUGAGGUUGUUUGUUGUAUUAAGGGGAUAAGGACAGUGUGCUUCUUUGUGAGAUGGAUGAAUGAUUUUUGAGGAUGGAUACUUGUAUAUCUGAUUUCUUUUUUCUUUUUGAAGAUGAGUUAUAUAAGUUAAUUCAAAUUCCAGAAUGUUUUAAUGAGAGAAGAUAUUCUCUCUCUCUCUCUCUCCCCCCUUCUUCCUGCUGGAUAGGAGGAUGGUCUAUGUGGUUUGGAUUUGUUAGACUCAAAAUAUUGACUAUUUUCAGAAAUUUGAGUUUGGGAUUGACUUUGAGAAGAAAGAAAUGAAUAAAGAUAUUUGAGUCCAAAAUAAAUUGUGCUCGUUGAUCUAUUUUCCUUUUAGUUUAUCCAUAUGCUUUGCAUGUUAUGAGGUUUUAUGAUGUACCAUUAUUGAAGAGGGUGAACCAUGGUGUGAUGGUAAGGUUGCCCCAUUGUGACCUAGAGAUCAUAGGUUUGAAAUACGGAAACAACCUCUCCGCUGCGUACAUCUAACCCUCCCUAGACCCUGCCAUGGUGGGAGCCUCCUGCACUACACUACUCUUUUUACGAUGUAUUAUUGUGUUACAGAGAAUGAAAUCAAACAUUACUAAUAAAGGAUAUUUAAGCACACAUCAAAUUUUCAAGGAGCUAAUCAAAUGGUCCAAUACUUGUUUUGAAACAUGACUUGACCUCUUUACUAGUUGUCACAUUGCCAAAUAUUUUGUUGUUCCAUUACCGCAUUUUUGGAUUCGGUAUAAUUUUAUCUUAACUUUGAAAAACUUGAUACAGUGAAUUGAAUGUGGCAUGUGAUAGAUAGGAUGACAUGCGGGUGAAAGCUGCAUAGCUGAUGUAUUCUAUUUUCAUAAUGAAACUUCAGUUUUGAUUAAUUGAUCUUUUUUGUCCAUGUUUAUUCUUUUCUAUAGUAAAUAAUUAAAGUUUGUUCCUCUCUUCUUUGGUAGUCAAAUUGUUUAAUGAAAUAUAUGUGAUGGUUAAUAGGACAGGGUUAUUGGGGGAAUAGCAAGUUGGUCAGAGGGACAUGGCUCCAAGUUUUAACGUGUAGGCAAGUAAUGCUCCAAUGUCUAGUAUUGUCAACCUACAGAAGGUGCGAUAUAAGGUUCAUUUUGAUCUGAGUGGAUGUUAGAACCUGAUGUUAUUGUUUUUGUUGGUAGAAAUUAGGAUGAUGAGAAGAGUGUUGACUCUUCUAGAUUUCGCUGACUUAAGGCUGAUUAUAGAUUUCUAAUUGAAUACCUUGGAUCUUUGUUUAAAAAAAUGACAUGAUUGGGGUUCUCUGUUGAAAAUAGAAAAUGAAGGUUUAAAAAGAUGAAAUAUUUGGCUCGUCUUUCAGGGAAGGAGUUUCUCUAGUAACAAGUAUUCCCUCCAACUGUCUGGUUCAUCACUUCAGAUCACUGUUUCAGAAAAUAAUCUUGAGAAUAUUAUAUGAUCUAUCGACAGUAUUUUGAUCUUAUUUCACUACGACCAGGCUUCCUGAGUAAAAGACAGCAGAUGUAAGUUUUUAGGAUAUUGAGAAGCUAAAUGCUUCCUUUUAGGGAAAUAGUUGUGCCAUAGAGGUUAGGCCAGAGCAAUUGAUGGUUCGUGGUACUGUGUGACUGGUUAAGUUAUUUUCACGAAGGAGGGAUAGAGGGUUAAUUCUUCCUUUGACACUUUUUUAUUAUGGGAAUACAUCACAGAUGAAAUGAAGGAUUUAGAAUAGUGACAGGUUCAAUGCUGGCCAAGAGAAGCAUUAGGUUUUGGGAGGUCCUUUAGAUUUGGGCAUUGAGCUUUCUCAAGUUUUUCUCUCUUUAUUGAUUUUGCCUCCAAUGUCAAUCCCAUGAUUAGAUAGGUCAGUGGGGUUUUCUCUAAUGUCCUCCAUCUUGAAAGAAUUAAAACUAUUAUGAAGAUUGGGGUGUGACUAUUUGCAUCUCACCCUUGAAGACAAAAAAGUUAAUGAAAAAAUUUCUAAUCUGAAAGGUUAAGAUUCUUUUUCUUUAGGACAAUAUUUUUGGCAUAAGGCUUAGAACUCUAUCACUCUUGAUAUAUUAGAAUUUGGGUGCAACUGUGUUAGGCAAGAUAAUUAUUGCCAAUGUUUUUUGGAAAAAUAUUGGAGACCAAGUUUUGGGACAAGAUGAGAAUGACUUCUUGUAUGUAGUCCUUUUUUUGAUUUUUAACAUUAUAUACUUGGUUUUGCUUUCUUUUUGACUUCAUUGUUAUAGAUUAGCUUCUUUCUUGGGACCAACAUCUGUUACUAAGAAGGAUAAGGAUGGGAAUACUUUUUCGCGUGCAUUUGCUAUGAAGUUUGGAUGUUAUUAGAUCUUCAAGAACACUUGUAACAACUCUGAGGCCAUUGCUGCAUGCAUUGCAUGCAUUUUUAUAUGGGGCAGGAUAUUUGUUAGAGUUGCUUUUAGUGAUUUUUGAGGCAAUAUUGGUGUUUGUUCUUCGAGGAUUGCUGUGUGAUGUAGGUAUGACAUAGAACAUGUGGUUUCACUAAUAUUUGUUUCAAUGGAGCCAUAUAAUCUUCAUAUGACCGGGGGAUUUAGAUAUAUUUUGGGUGUCUAUAUACGUUAUAUAUGAACAUAAUAUUGAUGAAAUAACAGUAUUGAUUGAGGAAGCUGUCAUGUAAAAUAUUUAUACUUUAGGGUGACAGCCUAAAAGAAGAGCAAUCACCUUUUUAAAAUAGAGACUGAAAUCCUACUUUCAUACAAAGAUACAAGGUAAAAUCCUAAAAAACUGUUGAAAAGGCGCAAAAGAGAAACCACAAACCUUUUUUGAAAGGAAAACACAUUGUCAAUCAUUGUUCCCUGGGAAACUGGUUAGAUGUUGUCCUGACCUGAUCAGGAACCUGAAUGAUUUACAUUGUUUCUUCCAGCCUGAAGAACCAGUGCAUCAAAUGUAAGAAUUCUUUUUUUUUUGUUUUUGAGGGGGGGGGGGGGGGGUGAACCUAGCUGUACACCAGAAAAAACUAAAAUCAAGAAAUUUAUUCAGGAUAGCUCUGUUUGUCAUGGUAACACCCUUCCGGUCUUUCUAAAACAUUUUCUUUUUGCUGCAGAGGCAGUCCUCUGGUUUUUGAUAUGUUUUCAUGAUUGUCCUGAUUUAUGAUUUGACUUAGUAUUGACAAUCUUAAAAGUGACACACAGGUCCUCCAGGUCUAUAUGUGAGCAUUGGUCAUCUCAUACUAUCAUCUGUGGCAUAAUUAUGCAGAUACUUCAUAGUUUAGCCUCCUCAAUGCCCAUCUACAUCUCUGUGGAUCCUUUUUCACAAUUUUUGUUGAUAUAUAUCACACACAUAUAGAAAGAUGACAACUAGCUAAUCGUUGUCUUCUAGCAUCAUUUUGAUUUUUGAAACCUAUUUUAUUGUCUUUCCUGUUUCUGGUUUGCUUCAUACAUCCAACGACUAGUCCACUAUAACACUUGGUUCCUUGAUUAAACCUAAAAUCAUCAAGAAUCAAAACAUGCAACAUCUAUCAAUCUAGAAGUCUGAAGCUAUGUUGUUGAACCCAACAUCAAUUGUUCUAUCACCAAGACUAUCCCUGCUCACAAUGAUUAAAAAAAAAUGGUAGGUAUCUACUUUUACAUCUACAGUUUUAUUAGUGCUUCACAGAUUCAAAUUAUUCUUAAUCAUACUUCACGGCCAGUUAAAUAUAUCUGCAGCUUGAGUAUCAGUAUGUUCAGUAGCCUCAGCUAGUUUUUGCUGAAACUACCUAGUUCGUCUCUUGUUUUGCUGGUUUUAACUGAAACUAAUAAUUUUCGGCUGGA